rnacentral:rRNA from 1 species
AAUUGAAGAGUUUGAUCAUGGCUCAGAUUGAACGCUGGCGGCAGGCCUAACACAUGCAAGUCGAGCGGUAGCACAGAGAGCUUGCUCUCGGGUGACGAGCGGCGGACGGGUGAGUAAUGUCUGGGAAACUGCCUGAUGGAGGGGGAUAACUACUGGAAACGGUAGCUAAUACCGCAUAAUGUCGCAAGACCAAAGUGGGGGACCUUCGGGCCUCAUGCCAUCAGAUGUGCCCAGAUGGGAUUAGCUAGUAGGUGGGGUAACGGCUCACCUAGGCGACGAUCCCUAGCUGGUCUGAGAGGAUGACCAGCCACACUGGAACUGAGACACGGUCCAGACUCCUACGGGAGGCAGCAGUGGGGAAUAUUGCACAAUGGGCGCAAGCCUGAUGCAGCCAUGCCGCGUGUGUGAAGAAGGCCUUCGGGUUGUAAAGCACUUUCAGCGGGGAGGAAGGCGUUAAGGUUAAUAACCUUGGCGAUUGACGUUACCCGCAGAAGAAGCACCGGCUAACUCCGUGCCAGCAGCCGCGGUAAUACGGAGGGUGCAAGCGUUAAUCGGAAUUACUGGGCGUAAAGCGCACGCAGGCGGUCUGUCAAGUCGGAUGUGAAAUCCCCGGGCUCAACCUGGGAACUGCAUUCGAAACUGGCAGGCUAGAGUCUUGUAGAGGGGGGUAGAAUUCCAGGUGUAGCGGUGAAAUGCGUAGAGAUCUGGAGGAAUACCGGUGGCGAAGGCGGCCCCCUGGACAAAGACUGACGCUCAGGUGCGAAAGCGUGGGGAGCAAACAGGAUUAGAUACCCUGGUAGUCCACGCCGUAAACGAUGUCGAUUUGGAGGUUGUGCCCUUGAGGCGUGGCUUCCGGAGCUAACGCGUUAAAUCGACCGCCUGGGGAGUACGGCCGCAAGGUUAAAACUCAAAUGAAUUGACGGGGGCCCGCACAAGCGGUGGAGCAUGUGGUUUAAUUCGAUGCAACGCGAAGAACCUUACCUGGUCUUGACAUCCACAGAACUUUCCAGAGAUGGAUUGGUGCCUUCGGGAACUGUGAGACAGGUGCUGCAUGGCUGUCGUCAGCUCGUGUUGUGAAAUGUUGGGUUAAGUCCCGCAACGAGCGCAACCCUUAUCCUUUGUUGCCAGCGGUUAGGCCGGGAACUCAAAGGAGACUGCCAGUGAUAAACUGGAGGAAGGUGGGGAUGACGUCAAGUCAUCAUGGCCCUUACGACCAGGGCUACACACGUGCUACAAUGGCAUAUACAAAGAGAAGCGACCUCGCGAGAGCAAGCGGACCUCAUAAAGUAUGUCGUAGUCCGGAUUGGAGUCUGCAACUCGACUCCAUGAAGUCGGAAUCGCUAGUAAUCGUAGAUCAGAAUGCUACGGUGAAUACGUUCCCGGGCCUUGUACACACCGCCCGUCACACCAUGGGAGUGGGUUGCAAAAGAAGUAGGUAGCUUAACCUUCGGGAGGGCGCUUACCACUUUGUGAUUCAUGACUGGGGUGAAGUCGUAACAAGGUAACCGUAGGGGAACCUGCGGUUGGAUCACCUCCUUACCUUA